rnacentral:rRNA from 1 species
GUGUUAGUGGAAGCGUCUGGAAAGGCGCGCGAUACAGGGUGACAGCCCCGUACACAAAAAUGCACAUAUUGUGAGCUCGAUGAGUAGGGCGGGACACGUGGUAUCCUGUCUGAAUAUGGGGGGACCAUCCUCCAAGGCUAAAUACUCCUGACUGACCGAUAGUGAACCAGUACCGUGAGGGAAAGGCGAAAAGAACCCCGGCGAGGGGAGUGAAAAAGAACCUGAAACCGUGUACGUACAAGCAGUGGGAGCCUCUUAAUGGGGUGACUGCGUACCUUUUGUAUAAUGGGUCAGCGACUUAUAUUCUGUAGCAAGGUUAACCGAAUAGGGGAGCCGAAGGGAAACCGAGUCUUAACUGGGCGUUAAGUUGCAGGGUAUAGACCCGAAACCCGGUGAUCUAGCCAUGGGCAGGUUGAAGGUUGGGUAACACUAACUGGAGGACCGAACCGACUAAUGUUGAAAAAUUAGCGGAUGACUUGUGGCUGGGGGUGAAAGGCCAAUCAAACCGGGAGAUAGCUGGUUCUCCCCGAAAGCUAUUUAGGUAGCGCCUCGUGAAUUCAUCUCCGGGGGUAGAGCACUGUUUCGGCAAGGGGGUCAUCCCGACUUACCAACCCGAUGCAAACUGCGAAUACCGGAGAAU